CGCUUGAAUUUUGUAAAAUCGCGGCGUGCGCUGUUCAGCCAAGGUGAUUCUUGGUGCAUUCAGAGCAAAAAAUGUCGCUCCUCUCCGUCAGUUCUCUUGCGAGCUUGCACCUUCACGGUGUGAGUUGCCGCAGCGGGGGACUGAGGGCUUCCCUCAAAAAAAUUUUUUUUUUAGGUCGAGGACGGUGGGGUUGUCUAUGUCGAUGCGAUCCGACCCGUCUUGAAACACGGACCAAGGAGUCUAGCGUGCCUGCGAGUCGUAGGGUCUCGACACCUGAGGGCGCAGUGAAAGCAAUUUGUGUAAACAGCAGAUUGAGGCGGCAUACGAUCGUUGAUUGUAAGUCUGACCUAGAGCAGGUAUGCUAGGACCCGAAAGAUGGUGAACUAAUCCGGAGUAGGGCAAAGCCAGAGGAAACUCUGGUGGAGGCUCGUAGCGGUGCUGACGUGCAAAUCGCUCGUCAAACUUGGGUAUAGGGGCGAAAGACUAAUCGAACCAUCUAGUAGCUGGUUUCCUCCGAAGUUUCUCUCAGGAUAGCAGGCCAUGUUAUAAAAACGCUGUUGUGUGCGGUAAAGCGAAUGAUUAGCGUACUCGGGGGCGUUCCGCCUUUGGACGAUUCUCAAACUUUAAAUGCGCACGGAUGUUGCUGCUUCGGUGAGCGACAUCGGCAAAAGCGAUGGCUUUGUGGGCCAAUUUUGGUAAGCAGAACUGGCGAUACGGGAUGAACCGCAAGCGUGGUUAAGGCGCCAAAUUGCCCGCUUAUAGAUCCCAAAAAAGGUGUUGAUUCAUCCAGACAGCAGGACGGUGGCCAUGGAAGUCGGAAUCCGCUAAGGAGUGUGUAACAACUCACCUGCCGAAUGAAUUAGCCCUGAAAAUGGAUGGCGCUCAAGCGGGCAGCCGACACCACGCCGUCUGGACUAGUUCAUCUUGUCCAGAUGAGUAGGAGGACGUGGCGGUCGUAUGGAAGCGUGUGCGCGAGCGCGCGUGGAACGGCCGCCAGUGCAGAUCUUGGUGUUAGUAGCAAAUAUUCAAACGAGAACCUUGAAGGGCGAAGCGGGGAAGGGUUCCACGCGUACAUUGAUUGGGUGUGGGUGAGUCGUUCCUAAGCCGAAAGACAAUUCCUAAUUACACAAACGGCGAAAGGGAAGCAGGUUGACAUUCCUGCACACGGAUGUGGACGCGGUGACGCGCUUUUUUCUGGGGCAGUGAAGCUGGCCGUGGCACUGGGCAGAGUUGUCUUUUCUGUUUGACCGCUCGGGCAUCGUGUGGAAUCCGCUUGUCGGGAGAAACACAUGCUGACGGGCAGAGCGC
rnacentral:rRNA from 1 species